CAGCGAUAUGAAGAGGUCCAACUCUGGAAUCGAGAUCGCCAAUCCAACUGGAACAGGCCACGGGAAUUAAAUGCGAGGAUUUAUAAAUAAACGGAAGCGAUUCAAAAAACUAAAAUCGAGGAAUAUACUCACAAGGAACUGAGAUACUCGUUCCACGCUAUAUCGAUGGCGACGUAGCACUGAAUGGGAUGAGUGAAGAAAAUAGCGAUAGCCAGGAGAAUUUGCACCGCGAUUCCCAGAUCUUCGGUCGGUAGAUUGAGCGUGAUGCUACCAGCGAUUUUGCUACCGUAACAUAUAUAUCCGAAGAAACCUAGGGCUGCAUACAUGGAGAUUUUAGCUGAUUACUUACCACGCCAAUGGACUCGAGGGCAAACAGGACGGUGCCAAAGAAAAGUGGAAAAUUCUUGACCUCCCCAACUGUCACGCGGUCUUUGAACGUCAACGGCUCUCGGAAGAUGUAGUAAAGUAU